AUAAUAAUAAUACAAGUGUUAUUUUCUAAGAAAAGUUUUAGAAAAAUGGCUAAUGACCAUAUCCUAUCAUCGUUUAAUCCUCUUUCAAAGAUCCAGACUUUUAUGAAAAAAACUACUAAAGUUCAGUAUGGUUGUGUUGAGAUAUCAAGUAGUUUCAUCUGCAUUGGUGCAAGUACUGGAACAACUUACAUGUUUGAUAGACAAACUUCUGAGCUCAAACAUUUUAUCACCAACAAAGCUUCAGCAAUCGUCCAUUUAAAAUUUUCUUCUGAUGGAAAAAUCUUAGCUGUUGCUGACAGCUCAGGCUUAAUUACACUUUGGGAAAUUCCAUUCGAAAUACAUUCUGGAGAUCAUUUAAUACAUUCUGGAGAUCAUUUAAAUCAAGAAAUUAAAGUUUUUAGAGAAAUAAAGGAACUCGUAGGUGAAAAAAUUUCUGAACUUUGUUGGCAUGAAAAUUUAAAGUUAUUUAUCGGGACUCAAUCUGGUACAGUUGCAUCUUUUAAUGUAGGCUCAAACGUAUUUGUAUCAAAAUUUGAAAUAUUGAUGAAAUCUGGAAGUCACAUAGUACAAUUGGAUGUAUCAUCUGGUAAUCUUCUUAUUUCAUCCACAACAAAAGCUUUGAUAUACUCUUUGGAUAGUGGUCAGUUUUGUCAAAUAGGAAAAAAGGCACGAACUGGACUUUAUGGCUGCUGUUUCCUAAACAGUUCUGAAGUUAUCAUAUAUUCUGCAAGACCUGGGAGUCGACUUUGGGAGGUUGAUACUUCUGGGCAGGUUUUGUCUACACAUCAAUUUAAAGAAUUGUUAAAUAUACCUCCUACUCCAAUUAUUACAUCAAGCGCUGUUAAAUUGUCAGAAUCAAAUUGUUCUUCAACAAGCCGUCUGAGUUUCAACUUUCCUUAUCUCUAUCAAGUUAUGAAUAAAUAUCUACUAACCUGGUCUGCUGAUGGAAUUUUUUUGUUUGAACCUCACAAGAGAAAAGUUUUUGCAUGGAAUGAUCAAAUAAAAGACGUAAUCAGCAUGACAUCAUUUGGUAGUAGCAUCUUCGUUCUUCAUUCACAAUGCAUUGUUACAGAGAUUCAAUUGCUUUCUUUAAAAGAUUUUCUUAAAACUUUUCAUGAUCUAGAAGAAUGGGAAAAAGUUGCCGAGGUUGCAUGUAAAUGCAAAGAAAAAAUUCUUCAAAAUGUUGAAACAUUUAUUUCUAUUGAUUUUUAUAAAGCACAAAAUCAGCUUGAAAUGGAAAAGUUACCAUCAAAGUUCUUACAAGAGUUUCAAAACUUUGUGAAAGACUUUGAGCAAAAACAUGUUCAGAUAUGCACUGAAAUAGAAAAAAAAAUGAAUCAAAAUAUUUCUGAAUGUAAUCAAGAAGAUUACGGUGAUAUCCAAUCUACAAACGAUGAUAUCCAAUCUACAAACGAUGAUAUCCAAUCUACUAAGAGUACUAAUGAUGAUAUUCUAUCUACAAAGAGUUCUAACAGUAGAAUUAGCACAUCAAAGUUUGAUAGUUUUAUGGAAAAAGCAACAAAUAAAAUUGUAAAAAAGGUUGUUGCUUCUGGUUUUAUGAAAAAAGUUAUAUAUGAUGCGUUAGAGAAUGAAGGUGUUCAUAUAAAUAAAUCUUUACAUGAAAAUAUCAAAAAGACAAAAAGUGUUCCGUCCUCCCCUACUCAAUCUCGAAGUAAUAUUUCAGAGUCAUCAAUAAAAUAUGAAGAAAAAACGCUUAAUAAAAUGUACAAUCAAUUACCAGAACACCACUCAAUGCCAAAUAUUUUUUCAAAUACAGAUACUAAUGAUAUUGUUUAUCACCGAAUGCAAAAGAAGUCGAAAAAAAAAAAAUCUUCACAAAACUGUAAUAAAAGAUCUACUGAUUUCACUGAUAGCUCAUCUACUGAAAAUACAUCCUCUGAAACUAGUAUGAAUUUGUCAUCAGAAAGUGUUACCUGUGAUACUGGUGAAUCAAUUAAUGGAAAUUUUAUUACACCGUCAUUUCGUUUUGAAAUAGAAACAGAACCACCUAUUUUUUUGUUGAAAUUGCCAAAUAAUUAUUUCCAGAUUAUCAGCAAACUUUUAAGUGUUACUGCUAAUACUAGUAACAAUUUCCGUGACACAAAGAUUUUGUACAACAUUAAUAAUGUGAAAAAAGUGCUUAAUCAUUGGUCAAAAGAGUUAUCCUCAGUUACUGUUGAAUUCCAAGAAGAAGUUUUUAAAUUAUUAAAUGAAAGUAUAAAAAAUGCAUUGAGUGAUAUUAUUUUAUCUUUUAUAGACAUUGAAAGUAGGUUUCUUCUUUUCAAACAGCUUUCAGCUGGUUACAGUGAAAUUUCAAAUGUAGCAAUGCUUUGUUUGCAGACAAGUAUUUUUCCUGAAAAAUGUAAAAUGCCACAUAAUUAUGAAUUUGCUCUUCUCAGUUUUGCAUUGGACUUUGAUACAAUGAGAAAAAGUGCGCAGCAAGAAGCAAAAGAAAUAAUUAAUAAGAAAAAUGAUUUAAUAGAUUCAGAAAUGGCUGAUGAAAAUCAAAAAAAUGCUGUAUUAAAAGAAAUUUCUUCUUCAACAGACAUUAGAAGUACAAUGAAUACAUAUGAAUCUUUAUGCUUAAGAAUGUUAGUUUCUUCUGGUAAUGAUUCUGCAUUUGAGAAAAAAUGUUUCUUUGGUGAAAACAAAGAUAAUGAAAAUAUAAGCUUGUGUGAAGGCUUUUCAUCUGAUAAUAUGACAGAAUGUGUUUCUUGUAUACUUGAUAAAUGCAGGGCUUGUUUUAUUCUAAGAUAUUUUCCCAUAUUAAACUUUGAAAGAAUGUAUUCACUUUUAUUAUGGAAAGGUGGGUGUCGAUGGAGAUCAUGGUGUGCAUGUAUGGUUCAUUUAAAAGAGCUUUACAAGCAUAGCAAUUUAUCAAAAGCAAUUGCAAAAAAUCAAUUAAGUGUUGAAGAACUUUUAAGCAGUACUGUAGAAGAUUUUCUAGGCAAUAUAUCUAGACUCUAUAUAGUUGCUCCUCAUCUUGUAUCACUUUACAUAAAAGAAGGUCAAUUUACAAAUUGGGAGGUCUCACUUUUGUAUAAUACUGGCUAUUUAAAAGAUGCUUCCAAUGAUUUCUUAUUGUAUGCUGAAAAUACUUUUUUGUCGUUAAGCAUGCAUAAACUUCAUCUACUUUUCUUAUUGUGUUGCCUUACGAACUCACUUAAUAGUCAGCCAUCUAUCUUAGAUUUGUUUUGUACAUGUGGUAAACCAAGACCAAGAGCAAAUUCUAUUGAGUGGAAAUACCAGAAGAUACUAGUAUCUUUGUUUGAUUAUCUUGAGGAGCUUAAGAAAGAUACACAAACCUUUUUGUUACUUCAAGGCAUGAGUAACUUAUGUUUAAAACGUGGGUACUGGACAGGGUGUAUUAAGUUACUGGUUUGGUUGAACAAAAUAAAUGAUGCUGUCACUUUGUUAGUUCAAUUACAAGAUGAGGAAAUUUUUAUAUGGGUUACAAAAUCUGGAUGCUUGAAUCUUGAUCUAUGGUCUAACCUCCUAUACGAAUGCUCAAAUCAAUCUGAUGUUGAAAAACACAAUUGUGAAGUUCUUGAUGGAUUACACUCGACAUUAAAUCUUGAUAAAGUUGUGCGCAGUGCUGCUAUUGAAAUUGGUUGUUUUGCUGUCCUAGAAAUUAUAAACAAAUUUUGUAUUAGUGUCUCUUUAGACCUUUACACAUCAUUAUUACAAGCCUUAAGCCAUGAAAAUCAACAGAAAAUUGUGGUAGAAAAGAUUCUACAGGUGGCUAAUGAUAAAGUAUGGACUGAUAAAAUAAACAAUGUACACUCCAAGAGAAUGUAAAAAACAAAGAGUUAAUUGGAAUUGAAUCAACGUUCACUGGAGAAUUCACUGCAGAUUUUAUCAUUAAUGAAUCAGAUAGCAUGUGGGGAAGAAAUAUCAAUCUUUCUGAUACAACAUGUCCAUUAUG
rnacentral:misc_RNA from 1 species